GAAAAAAUGAAUGCAAGUCAACGGGGCUAAAAACGCCUUUUUCUAAUCCACUGUGCCUCACAAUUAUUAACAAUAUUAAAGCUCCGAUGUAUGAUUACGUGUGUUAAAAUGACGUUAUUUAUUUAUAUGAGCGUCGUCGGCGUUCAGAGAUCUUCUCAUUCCGGUGUGAGAGCAGCAGCUGAACCCGGUAACACCACCAGCAACAGAAGCUGACACGAGAAUAAACCCUCAUCAUGAACUGUGGCUGAAACGCACUUCUUCACCAGGGUGACCCAACUGGCUCGGAGGAAGUCCCAGGCCAGCUUGUAGCCGCGAGGGUUUUUGGCAACGGACACAACCACGUCUGGGAGGUCCUGAGUCUUCAUCACCUCACCGUGGAGACUUUGCUCCAUCAUCCUGCAGACAGAACACAGAGAGGAUGACAAAGCGGUCAGUUUAAGUAGAAUGUGCUGAUGUGUGCAGCGCUCACCACUGGAGUUUGUCCUGCAGCGGGCUGAUAGCCAUGGCGCUUUUAUAGCGGCUCUUCAGCGACAUCUGCAGCGAGUUGUGGUACUUCUCAAACAGGAAGUCCCACCCCUCUGGUGUGCGAGCUCCGAUCACAAACACAGCCAUUGAGACAUCGACAGGGAGGCUAAAAAGGUGGACCGUGACCUCUGACCUCACGGUGCCGUCAGACUCCUUCCACUGGCUGAAGAGCUGGAUGGCUUUCCUCACACAGGGUUCGUAGUUCAUGAAGCAGGCAAACAGCAGCAGGUAACUCCUCAGAACACGCUCGGAGACAGAACCAGAGUCGCUCCACUGCUGCCGAUCGAUCAGAUCCCGGAACAGCUCUACGAUGUAACCCUGAAGCACACACACAGAAUCAAAUCAGCAUGGAGGGUAGCCGAUCACACAUGACCAACUGUUAACUGGUUUCAACUCAUAAAAAUUAAAGAAAUGUUCAUGAUGUCAUCAUCUUGACUGUACUGCAUGAUGUAGAUGUGUUAUUAUCGGUCCUCUGAAAGGCCUUGAAGGUUGUCUCACUUUCAUCUGCUUCUCCAGCACCGUCAUGUCUCUCUUUUCCAUCAGCUUGUAGAGAGGAACAAGCUCUCCAAAGCCCCGAGUCACAGCCAUGAUCUCGGUCUCGUUGGACAGGUACAGAGACAGCUCCAGGGCCGUGUCCAGGCUCACCUUCCCAACACUACAACACCGAGAACAAGCUUCGGAUCAGAACACCACUAGACAGGAGUUCAUUCUGCACAGAAACCAGAGGAUUGAACAUCAAAAGAAAAACCCCCACCCAGAGGUUCUUUCCACUGACCGCCACUGCGAGAAAGAACGAUUAAAAACGAGGGAUUCUGUGUUCAUCUCUCACCACGUGCAGCUCUGGGUAGGUGAUGUCCAGGGAAAUAAACUCCAUGAACUUGGCAAAACCCUCGUUCAGCCACAAGUCGUUCCACCACUCCAUCGUCACCAGGUUUCCGAACCACUAAGCCCAUUUGAAAACAACAAAAAAAUGACGGCUGUAUCCUGAUAUUUCUCUUUCUUUUUCAGAAAUCCAGCUACCUGGUGUGCGAGCUCAUGAGCGAUAACCUUGGUGAUGGACAGCUUGUCGGAGGCGGAGGACUUAUCGGGGUCAAAGAGGAGGCCGGUCUCUCUGUAGGUGGUCAGGCCCCAGUUCUCCAUCGCACCGGACUGGAAAUCAGGAAUAGCUGCCAGGUCUGCAGGGAAAAACACAAACCAGCGAAUCCUUUAAAUCUGAAGACAUGUUCUUGCUGUGUGACCAAAAACAUGCUGAUAGAAGGUUUACUUUACAAACCCUGUUUGGGAAGAGGGUAGGGAAUGUCAAAAUAAUCGUCAUAGAAGUCCAACAACUUGACUGCAGCAUCCAGAGCAAAGGCGGUCUGGUUGAUCCUCUCUGGAACGGCGUAAAUGGAAAUCUGAUGGGAAUGAGUAAAAAAAAGGAAUUAAAAAUAACACUGUGGUCCUUCAAAAUAAAGUCUUAUGCUGAUGUUUCUAAAUUUAAAA